rnacentral:rRNA from 1 species
UACAGAGGGGGCAAGCGUUAUUCGGAAUUAUUGGGCGUAAAGGGUGCGUAGGCGGCUUUUCAAGUGACGGGUGAAAUCCCUCGGCUUAACCGAGGAACUGCCUGUCAGACUGGAAGGCUUGAGACCGGGAGAGGUGAGUGGAAUUCCCAGUGUAGCGGUGAAAUGCGUAGAUAUUGGGAGGAACACCAGUGGCGAAGGCGGCUCACUGGACCGGAACUGACGCUGAGGCGCGAAAGCGUGGGGAGCAAACAGG